ACCGACACCGCCACCGCCGACAAGCAUCUAUGAAAAGCCUCAUUUAGUGCAGAUCGAAACUAAAUAUCAACUAUGGAACCUUGGGCAAAGUGGUCUCGUUGUGUUGAAUAAUGAAGGUACCGUAGAUUGCAAAGGGACUUUGGGGGCCGCUGGGAGUACGUAGAUUGAUCUCUCUUUUACUAGCGCAAUUAUGAACUGCCCAUAUCUGAUUUAACGUUUUUAUGUCUCAUGAUAACACAUCUGCUUGCAUAGACUGUAUUGUCCUUGGCGUCGACAGUUUAUUACUGGUAGGAGAUGGAGCAAGCAGAACUAUCACAGCAAAGAAUAUAGAUGACAUUGAUGGAAACGGUGAAUCUUUUGAGCAUGAUUACUUCUGGAGCUUCACGAUGUUCAAGCACUAUAAUGGCGGCCUCUACCUGGGAUGCGACAACUCUGGAAACGCAACACUGUUUGGAGAUACGGCAGUUGAGUAUCCAGAUCCUCGAAUUCUUUUUGUCCUUACCAAAGUUAAAUAACUUCAAAAGACAACUGAUGAAGAGUCAUGGCCUUUCACGUUUUUUCACUGCAAAGUCAGCUUUUAUGCAACAAUUACUUUUUGGGAAGAUAUUUAAAUUUCAAUAUUAAAACUAGUAUACAGAUGUCUUGCAUAAAUAUAUGUCCGAGAUUAACUUUGAUCGUAUCAAGAGACAAAGGUUGAACAGGCCAAAGGUUUACUCUGGCCUUCAUGGUAUACUCAUUGUUAUCAUGGAAUUGAUAUGAUCAGUAGGAUACGCAAGUAUACAUAGAAGAGCUCCAGUUGUAAAAUCUUGUUGAGCCUACACUCAUCGUCCUUAAUCCGUUGCAAAUCAACUGCAU